rnacentral:misc_RNA from 1 species
GGAAGUAAAAUCGUAACAAGGUCUCCGUUGGUGAACCAGCGGAGGGAUCAUUACCGAGUUUACAACUCCCAAACCCAAUGUGAACCAUACCAAACUGUUGCCUCGGCGGGGUCACGCCCCGGGUGCGUCGCAGCCCCGGAACCAGGCGCCCGCCGGAGGGACCAACCAAACUCUUUCUGUGGUCCCCUCGCGGACGUUAUUUUUACAGCUCUGAGCAAAAAUUCAAAAUGAAUCAAAACUUUCAACAACGGAUCUCUUGGUUCUG